UGCGUCCUACGGGGGGCAGCAGGGGAUAUUGCACAAUGGGGGGAACCCUGAUGCAGCGACGCCGCGUGGGUGAAGAAGCGCCUCGGCGCGUAAAGCCCUGUCAGCAGGGAAGAAAAUGACGGUACCUGAAGAAGAAGCCCCGGCUAACUACGUGCCAGCAGCCGCGGUAAUACGUAGGGGGCAAGCGUUAUCCGGCUUUACUGGGUGUAAAGGGGGCGCAGACGGCGAUGCAAGCCAGGAGUGAAAGCCCGGGGCCCAACCCCGG
rnacentral:rRNA from 1 species